rnacentral:siRNA from 1 species
GGGAAAUGGACUGCCGCCUCCC